AUCAACGAAGAGGUGCUUACGUUGAUCGACGGUGAUGCGCUAUUGUCGAUCGAUAAUGUGGUGUGUAUGUCGAUCGACAUUCGAGACAGAGGGGUAUGAACAUUCAUUUCUCCUGUCUAACAUCUAACCUAGUACUUAUGAUUUAUUCUCUAACCAAUCUUAGACUGAAUAUCACUAGGGACAGUGAAAUUUAAGUCUAGGGGGAGGUAUUUACUAAUACUAGUUUGUUAUAUGAUUUCUAUAAAAAAAUGUUUUCAAAGAAAAAUGUUUUAUCGAGUCAGAAAGGGUAUAAUUAACUUCUUCAAAGUUUACUUGUUAUCUAACCACUCUAUAGCGCCAUUCUGACUGCAGAAAGUACUAGAGAUACUAAAGUGGAUCAACCUGUCAACUAUGAAAACACUUGCUGAGACUGUUUGAAGGAACCAAAGCUGACCUCCAACCUAACCUGACUCAAUUGUUUGUCUUGGGGUUUGGUAUACAUUGGAUCGGAUUCCUCUUUCAGGUCUGAAAAGGUAUGUCUGUAAAUUUUUGGUUUCCUUCUCUCCUCUCUUCGGCAUCUUCAGAUAUAAAAGAUUGAAAUGAUUUCCUGGAAGAGGCAGAGGGGUAGGAGUGUCUCAUGUGAUCCCAUUAUUCUAAGUCUGAAGGGAAUGAUCACACAUUGUGGAAACGAGGGGUAGGAGUGUCUCUUGUAACCCUGGUAUUCGCUAUACUUUGUUAAAAAAAAUAAAAAAAAAAUAAACAUAUAUAAUAAAAUGAGAUUCAUAGAAUAGAGAUAUAGGGAGAAAAGAAACCAGAAUAAGACUACUUGAUUACUCAGAUACCUGCUGGAGUACGAGUCCAUGUGUCCCUUGAUCUAGACUCCCAAGAUUUAGCCUACACUUUUUAUUUAUGCAAGAAAUGAGGUUAGUAGAGGAGAAAGUCAGAUAAGAUAUGUUGAGUUGCUGGCUAGAUGUAUUUGGUUGCUAUACUAGGAUAUUUUGAAAGGUGUAUCGAUCGAUAUUCUGUACAAAUCAUCGAUCAACACUUUCUCGUGAUUAACAUACGAGAGUUGAAAUCCGAGAUCCAGAUUAGAUAAUCUAAUUGAUUAUACCUGAGUUUGAGUUCAAGAACAAUUAAUAUCAUCAAUAAACCCC
rnacentral:lncRNA from 1 species